UUUCUUAUGAUCACUGAAGUUAAGCAAAGUCGAGCCUAGUCAGUACCUAAAUGGGUGACCACUUGAGAAUACCAGGUGCUGUAA